rnacentral:rRNA from 1 species
AACGAACGCUGGCGGCGUGGAUUAGGCAUGCAAGUCGAACGUGAAAAGGGGCUUCGGCUCCUGAGUAAAGUGGCAAACGGGUGAGUAACGCGUGAGGAACCUGCCUGGAAGUGGGGGACAACACUCCUAACGGGGUGCUAAUACCGCAUGUGCAUGUGGGGUCGCAUGGCUCUGCAUGUAAAGGUGGCCUCUGCUCGCAAGCUACCGCUUCCGGAUGGCCUUGCGCCCAUUAGCUAGUUGGCGGGGUAACGGCCCACCAAGGCGACGAUGGGUAGCUGGUCUGAGAGGAUGGUCAGCCACACUGGGACUGAGAUACGGCCCAGACUCCUACGGGA